rnacentral:rRNA from 1 species
AUUGAACGCUGGCGGCAGGCCUAACACAUGCAAGUCGAACGGUAACAGGAAGCAGCUUGCUGCUUCGCUGACGAGUGGCGGACGGGUGAGUAAUGUCUGGGAAGCUGCCUGAUGGAGGGGGAUAACUACUGGAAACGGUAGCUAAUACCGCAUAAUGUCGCAAGACCAAAGAGGGGGACCUUCGGGCCUCUUGCCAUCGGAUGUGCCCAGAUGGGAUUCGCUUGUUGGUGGGGUACCGGCUCACCAAGGCGACGAUCCCUAGCUGGUCUGAGAGGAUGACCAGCCACACUGGAACUGAGACACGGUCCAGACUCCUACGGGAGGCAGCAGUGGGGAAUAUUGCACAAUGGGCGCAAGCCUGAUGCAGCCAUGCCGCGUGUAUGAAGAAGGCCUUCGGGUUGUAAAGUACUUUCAGCGGGGAGGAAGGGAGUAAAGUUAAUACCUUUGCUCAUUGACGUUACCCGCAGAAGAAGCACCGGCUAACUCCGUG